GCAUAUCAAUAAGCGGAGGAAAAGAAACCAACAGGGAUUGCCCUAGUAACGGCGAGUGAAGCGGCAACAGCUCAAAUUUGAAAUCUGGCGCAAGCCCGAGUUGUAAUUUGUAGAGGAUGCUUCUAGGUAGCGACCGGUCUAAGUUCCUUGGAACAGGACGUCAUAGAGGGUGAGAAUCCCGUAUGUGACUGGCCCGCACCUUCUACGUAGCUCCUUCGACGAGUCGAGUUGUUUGGGAAUGCAGCUCUAAAUGGGAGGUAAAUUUCUUCUAAAGCUAAAUACCGGCCAGAGACCGAUAGCGCACAAGUAGAGUGAUCGAAAGAUGAAAAGCACUUUGGAAAGAGAGUUAAAAAGCACGUGAAAUUGUUGAAAGGGAAGCGCUCACAACCAGACUUCUGGGCGGUGUUCCGCCGGUCUUCUGACCGGUCUACUCACCGUCCCGAGGCCAACAUCAUCUGGGACCGCCGGAUAAGACCUUAGGAAUGUAGCUCCCCUCGGGGAGUGUUAUAGCCUGUGGUGAUGCGGCGCGUCUCGGGUGAGGUCCGCGCUUCGGCAAGGAUGUUGGCGUAAUGGUUGUCAGCGGCCCGUCUUGAAACACGGACCAAGGAGUCUAACAUCUAUGCGAGUGUUCGGGUGUCAAACCCCUACGCGUAAUGAAAGUGAACGGAGGUGGGAAGGGUAACCUGCACCAUCGACCGAUCCUGAUGUCCUCGGAUGGAUUUGAGUAAGAGCAUAGCUGUUGGGACCCGAAAGAUGGUGAACUAUGCCUGAAUAGGGUGAAGCCAGAGGAAACUCUGGUGGAGGCUCGCAGCGGUUCUGACGUGCAAAUCGAUCGUCAAAUUUGGGUAAUAGGGGCGAAAGACUAAUCGAACCAUCUAGUAGCUGGUUCCUGCCG
rnacentral:rRNA from 1 species